UACGAAGGGUGCAAGCGUUACUCGGAAUUACUGGGCGUACAGCGUGCGUAGGUGGUGAGUUAAGUCUGUCGUGAAAGCCCCGGGCUCAACCUGGGAAUGGCGAUGGAUACUGGCUCGCUAGAGUGCGGUAGAGGAGAGUGGAAUUCCCGGUGUAGCAGUGAAAUGCGUAGAGAUCGGGAGGAACAUCAGUUGCGAAGGCGGCUCUCUGGACCAGCACUGACACUGAGGCACGAAAGCGUGGGGAGCAAACAGG
rnacentral:rRNA from 1 species